GCAACACAGAAAAACCCUGUCUCGAAAAACAAAACAAAACAAAAAAAGCCUAAGCAUUUCACCACCAGAUGUGGGCCUGGUGGUACAAGCUUUUAAUCCCAGCACUCAGGAGAGAGAGAGAGAGAGAGAGAGAGAGAGAGAGAGAGAGAGAGAGAGCUCUGAGUUUAGUCAGUCAGUUCAGUACAGUCAGUCAGCAUAGGAGAGGCAGUGUAGUGGAGUUGAAUUCAGAUCAUUUCAUCUUGUGCAGCAGAAGCAGUUGAAGCCAGAGAACAAGGAGCCAGAAGAUGUAGAACGUAUUGCCAGAGUUAUUUUGAGGCCAAGCAGAGCAAUCCAGUGAGAAGCUGAGAGAAGACAGAGUGAAUCAGUCAACUUGGAGAACAGUUUGAGCCAGAACAACUGGGUUGAACCAGCCAGCCAAGAGUUCAGAAAUAGCUAGAAAAGGUGCGCUUAUUCAGCAGUAAGCCUCAGUAAGCCUCUGAGAUGACAAUUACAUCAGGUGAAUAAAAGUUAUUUUUCUACAUUAACACUUUACAUGAAAUAUCUCAUUUACCCUUGCAGCAACACUUCAGAGGGGUAAGUAUUGAUGCUCAUCCAAAUCAAAAGUGAGAAAGCUGGGUUAAAACUUCAGCAACUUACUUAGCUAGUAAGGCAUAAUUUGAUACUUUACUGAUAGUAAUAGUAAUAAACUUACACAUUUCUUGUGAGAACCACGCGAUCAGCAUAGUGCUCUGCACACAAUUGAUAUUAAUGAACAAUUUCUAGUAACAGUUACCCUUUUGUAAAAUGUUACUUCUUGUGGGUGGCUGCAUGAUAUGUGUGGUGGGUGCACAUGCCACAGCACACAUUUAGAGGUCCAGAGGACAGCUUGCUGGGGAAGGUUCUCUCUCUUACUAUAAGUUCUGGAAAUUGACUUCAGGUCGCCAAGUUUCUACAGCAAGUGCAUUUACCCUCUAGUAAACUCUCAUAGGAUAGCUUUGAGAAUUUUAAAUCAUUGCCGGGAAUCUAAAAAAAGAAUCAUUAGAAUCUACACCCAUGUCAGAUUUCAGAUGCCAACUAUAUUUUAAAGUUUUUCCUGAAGCACAAAUUAUUAUUUCAUGAUUUUGAAUUUAUCAGGGAGGCUCAAAACUAGAAAGUACUUUGAUUUAAAUAGAUUAUUUUUCUGUAGCCCAUGGCAGGACUUGACUCUGUAACCGAUUCCUGCCACUUCUGGGAUUAUAGGCCUGUCUACGUGUUAUAUCAGGUGGCCUAGCUAUGAUUUUUCUUUUACUUUUUAAUGAUUUUUUUCUGAGUUUGCAGAGAGGAAAGUAUGUGCCUUGUGGUUUUCCUAUUUGUUUACACAUUUAAAAUUAGUUGGAACCUAAAUGUCACUUAGGAUAUUUUUGGCAUAGUAAAAAGAAAUACAAACAAAGAUGGUAAACCUGUAAACAAGGCUGUGGGAAGGAGUAUGGAGGUAGUCUUGUUCUGAGAUUGACUCAGCCCUGCCGCUAAGGACACAGGCUCCUGUCACUUCCUGGGGAUCCCAGCCUUAGUGUGGCUGCUGAAUCCUCAGGCUUCACCCUCCAUCGCUGCAAGAUAGCAGCUGCACAGGAAGGCAAUUCCAUCAUGCCCCACUUUUCCUGAUAGUACAUCCCCUAAGGCCACAUGAGAACUAGCCCACUUGACGAGAGUUGCUUCACUAUCCCGGUGUAAGUUAUUCAUUUUACUAAGAAAUUGAGACUAUCACAAUUGGCUUACAUCAAUCUACACUGAAAUGUUGGGGGCUGGAGAGGAUCUGUCCCUCCUUUGGAGAGGGUGCUCAAGGGCAGACAGGUUUAGAUGUUUGUUUUCAAAAAAGCCGUUUGAGAUAAAGUUUUAACUUCGCAAUUUUCCUUAGAGAAAUUAUACAUAGAAUCAAUGCUUAAUUAAAAAGUGAUUCCCCCCCCCCCCAAGUUCAUGCAUGAUGCGUAAUUUCUGGUGGAACCCAUUCACUUUAUUACAUGUAAGGGCAUUGCUGUUAGCAGUGAGGUUAAGAGAGAAACAGGACCAUGCAAGCUGUGCAAGGAAUAUUUCAGUAUUAGCUAAGAGGGCAUGCAGUUGAAACAUCUUAAGCAACUGGGAUAUUUAAUAUUUAUCUAAAUUAAAAACUUUCCAGAACCUAUUAGCUGAUUUCCAUAAAAUUUCACUAGCUGGACAAAGCCACACUGUUAUCUUUGGGUAGGAGAGAGACUGUGAAACUAUGUAACAAAGCUUCAGGAUGUGCAAACACGUUGUCCCCAAACAUAAUGGAGUCUCUUUAUAGGGCGAAACGUACACCUUGUGUUACAUAGUCUGCCUUUUGGAGUUAAUUCUCUGCCUGGAAAAGCAACAGAAAAUCAAGAGUGUUUCUCAUACUGUAGUCUUUGCAGUCCCUAUGAAAUCAUGAAGUAUUUAUGCAAAUUGCUUGAGUCUCCAUGGCCCAGAAGCAGGCUAAAGUGCAGAAGAGGUGGAUCUCAAACACAGCUUGUCAAAAUACACCAUGAUGGAGAGCAGUUGCCCUACAAACUGCCAGGUACUCGGAGUCUGAUACAUCGGAGGUGGCUUUGCUGCUCGGCAGCUGCCUCUGCCCCUAACUGUUAGUAUAGCCAAAUAAUUGCUGGUUUUAUUUCUUUCAACACUUAAAAAAAAUCUUCCCCAAAUGAGUUUUUAACUGAUGCCUUAUUAUAUUGCUAUUUAUGCCCCAAAUAUUCUUCACUGAUCCUACUGUUUUCUUCAGAUGCUGACAUGCCCAAGAAUGGGGAGGACUUUCUGUGUAGCUGAGGGUUUUGUUCUCCUACAGGAGGUUGGCUGAAGCACUGGAGGGAAGAUGAAGCUGAGUCCUGACCUCGCCAUGUGGUCUGCAGCUGAUUCAUCUGGACCUUGGCCUGGUCACUUUACUGUCUAUUGCUCCAUUUCUAUACCUGUAAAAUAGAAGUGUAGGAGAGGAUCCUCUAUGACGUCUCCUAGCUCUGUAGUUUUAUGACUGUAAUGUAUCAAAUGCCCGUAGCUGUCUAUCAUAGCUGAAGUGGAUUAGGGUUAAUAUUUACCCUAGAAAUUAAGUUUAUCACCUCAUUUUUUAGAAUGAAAUUUAAAAGAUAUAAAUUAUACAUUUACAAAAAUACACAGGACUGGGCUGGCAUGCAUGGGUCCCUGGAUUAAAGUCCCCCUUCCCACACCAACCAUCUAUAUAUGUGUGUGUUUGUAUGUAUACAGUAGUAUAAAAAUAAUAAGCUGAAAAGGUACAUAUUAAUAUGAAGUACAGUUUUUAUGUUUGUUUUUUUUUUUACAAACAUACAACAUGAAUAACACAACUGGAAUAAUAUUACAUAUAGAAGGCUCUUUGCUUGUCUGGUUUUUAAGUUCAAGCAGAUUUUAUAUUAUUAUUAUUAUCAUUAUCAUGUAUGUGCAUGCAGGCAGAGGUCAGAGGGCAAGUUGUAGGAGUUGGUUCAUUUCCUCCAGUACUUACCUUAGACCUCGGGGCUUUCACAGCAGACAUUCACUACAUGGGUCACCUGUCUGUGCUUUUGAGACCUAGUCUUCCUACACAGACUAGGCUGCCUCCAAUGUGUGACCUGCUUGCAUCCCUGAAUCCUAAGUUGUGAGGUUUGUGACACUGUGUCUGUUUCCAAGGUACUUUUGAAUCAAUCCUUGGUUCCACUGUGAACACUCCCCCUGCUCCUUCAUUUUUAGAAGGGAGUAUUUUCCUUCCCUGACAAUUUUUUUUAAUACUGUUAAAUUAAAAACUACAAGUCAUAAGCCAUGGCAUAAAUAAACUGUUAUAGCUACCAGCUCUCACAGGGUGUGGAAUUGUGCUGGCCAGUCCAGAAACACUUAAAACAUUUUAAAAAAUGUGUGUUUGUGUGUGUGUGUGUGUCUGUCUGUCUGUCUGUCUGACUGAAUGUGUGUGGUGAAAGUACAGCCACCCAUGGACACCAGAGAGGGAAUCAGAUCCCUUGAAGCUCAAGUAAUUGUGAGCUGCCUGACUGGAGUGCUCUUUAGUGUGGAGCCAUUUCUCCAGUCUCUCUUUAACACUCCCUUAACAUAACCACCCCCCUGUUGCUGAAAUUGGCUGGCCUCAGGACUUGAACUGUUCUUGCAUUUUCUUUGCAUUUUGUCAUCUACUGUAUGUCCCAAGGCAUUAGCACGUGUUACCUUAAAACCUCUGUUAAUUGAUUUUAUUAUUUUAUCAUAUAAAGACAUAAACAUGCAACUA